AUGUUUCAGGACCUCGAGCAUAGGGCCAACCAGGCCCUGAGCAACCUUUGCGAUGAGAGCGUUGCCAGCCCCCUCGUCGCCAAUGAUGCUGGCUAUCUUGGCUUCUUCACCAGGAUUGUGGAGUGCCUCGAAGGUGGAGCUGCGAGUGCGCGUCAACUCGUCGAGGAGAAGAGCCGCGACCUUCUUGCGCGCGCCGUCUCACGCAUCUUCAACCAUCUCCUCCGCUCCGAUCCUGACUUCUACUUCGAGGCCGUGACAGCCCCGGUACCUGAGGUGAUCGAAGGUACCCUGGCGGACUGGGUGGACGACCAUGUGGAGGACCUGAUGGCGGAGCUCACCCCUGCCAACAACGACGGCCCGCCUGCGAUCGAGGAGGGUGGGGCCGCCGAUGCCGGCGGUGGUUGUGACGAUGCUGACGACGUGUCUCCCUAG
rnacentral:rRNA from 1 species